rnacentral:rRNA from 1 species
AGUGAACGCUGGCGGUAGGCCUAACACAUGCAAGUCGAACGGCAGCACAGUAAGAGCUUGCUCUUACGGGUGGCGAGUGGCGGACGGGUGAGGAAUACAUCGGAAUCUACUUUUUCGUGGGGGAUAACGUAGGGAAACUUACGCUAAUACCGCAUACGACCUACGGGUGAAAGCAGGGGAUCUUCGGACCUUGCGCGAUUGAAUGAGCCGAUGUCGGAUUAGCUAGUUGGCGGGGUAAAGGCCCACCAAGGCGACGAUCCGUAGCUGGUCUGAGAGGAUGAUCAGCCACACUGGAACUGAGACACGGUACAGACUCCUACGGGAGGCAGCAGUGGGGAAUAUUGGACAAUGGGCGCAAGCAUGAUACAGCCAUACCGCGUGGGUGAAGAAGGCCUUCGGGUUGUAAAGCCCUUUUGUUGGGAAAGAAAAGCAGCAGGUUAAUACCCCGCUGUUCUGACGGUACCCAAAGAAUAAGCACCGGCUAACUUCGUG